AAGUAGGUAGCUUAACCUUCGGGAGGGCGCUUACCACUUUGUGAUUCAUGACUGGGGUGAAGUCGUAACAAGGUAACCGUAGGGGAACCUGCGGUUGGAUCACCUCCUUACCUUAAGAUAC
rnacentral:rRNA from 1 species